UACAGGGGGAACUAGUAUUAUUCGGAAUGAUUGGGCGUAAAGGGCAUGUAGGCUGUUAAUAACGUUGAAAGUAAAAGACCAUAAUUAUUAUUUUGGAAUAACUUUCAAAACGAAUUAACUUGAGUUCGAUAGAGGAUAGUGGUAUUUCUAGUGUAAAGAUAAAAUUUGCAAAUAUUAGAAGGAACACCUUUUGGCGAAAGCAGCUAUCUGGCUCGUUUACUGACGCUGAUAUGCUAAAGCAUGGGUAUCAAACGGG
rnacentral:rRNA from 1 species